rnacentral:rRNA from 1 species
AGCGAACGCUGGCGGCAGGCUUAACACAUGCAAGUCGAGCGGGCCCUUCGGGGUCAGCGGCGGACGGGUGAGUAACGCGUGGGAACGUGCCCUCUGGUCUGGAAUAACCCUGGGAAACUAGGGCUAAUACCGGAUACGCCCUCUUGGGGAAAGGCUUGCUGCCGGAGGAUCGGCCCGCGUCUGAUUAGCUAGUUGGUGGGGUAACGGCCUACCAAGGCGACGAUCAGUAGCUGGUCUGAGAGGAUGAUCAGCCACACUGGGACUGAGACACGGCCCAGACUCCCACGGGAGGCAGCAGUGGGGAAUAUUGGACAAUGGGCGCAAGCCUGAUCCAGCCAUGCCGCGUGAGUGAUGAAGGCCUUAGGGUUGUAAAGCUCUUUUAUCCGGGACGAUAAUGACGGUACCGGAGGAAUAAGCCCCGGCUAACUUCGUGCCAGCAGCCGCCGUAA